GGUGGGGUUCCCGAGCGUCCAAAGGGAGCAGACUGUAAAUCUGCCGUCAUCGACUUCGAAGGUUCGAAUCCUUCCCCCACCACCA
rnacentral:tRNA from 2 species